UACAGAGGUCCCAAGCGUUGUUCGGAUUCACUGGGCGUAAAGGGUGCGUAGGUGGUGAGGUAAGUCGGAUGUGAAAGCUCCGAGCUCAACUCGGAAAUGGCAUUGGAAACUACCUUGCUCGAGGGUUUGAAGGGGGACUGGAAUACUUGGUGUAGCAGUGAAAUGCGUAGAUAUCAAGUAGAACACCAGUGGCGAAGGCGAGUCCCUGGAAAACUCCUGACACUGAGGCACGAAAGCUAGGGGAGCAAACAGG
rnacentral:rRNA from 1 species